GAGUAUACAAAAGACACAGAGACAAAAUGCAACAAAUUAUUCAGUUCAUGAGAAAACAUAUAAUGUUAAAAUUUGAGGCAACUUCAGUACAAUUAUUGGACUAUUCUCUUCCCUCAAUUCAAAAGAAUCUCCCAAUUUCCACUUUUUAAUAAUCAAAAUCACCUAUAACAUCCCAAGCAAAAAAAGAUCAUUUUUUUCUGAUUCUGUAGACUUACUAGCCUCUGCUUUAGCUAAGAACUAUUUGAACUCCCUUCCAAUUUGGUGUCGUUGCCUUCAUCCUUCAGCUUCUCCUUCUCCUUCUCCAAUUCAGCCCCUGCAGCUUUCUCAGCUUGUAAUAUAGGAGCAUAAUAGUCAGAGUGCACCUCCAUACACUUCCUCAAAGCAGAAGUAACCUCAAAACACUUUUCCACUAUAUCCUCUUUGUUCUUCUCCCCUUCUUCAAUACAUUUUUCCCAGUCAAUAAAAGAGUCUCUACAACCUCCCCCUUUCAUAAACAAGCAAAACCCACAUUCACCCUCCUCCUCUUCUUCCUCCUCGUUUCCAAUUUCUUCUUGGUCUUCCUCCUUAGGUUUUUGGGUUUCACUCGUUUCAGCUUCAUGGGUCUCUUCAAUUUCAGAUUUUGAUUCGUGGGUCGGUUCAAUUUUGGAUUUUGAUUCGUGGGUCGGUGAGGAAGACAUGGUGAGGAUUGUUGAAUUGGGGGAGCUAGGGUUUG
rnacentral:misc_RNA from 1 species